rnacentral:lncRNA from 1 species
AGUAACCUCUGGAGACCCCAGCUUGCUCAAAAAGGAUUGAGAAAAUGACUCCAAAGCCUGUUCUUGCUGAGCUGACCCAAACACUUAGACGACAUGGCAGCAGUCAGCCAUCUCACAUUCUGAGGAGGCUUUCCUUGAUGAGAUACCGUGGACAUUGCAUGGCGUCAUGUGAAAAGUCCAACCACAGCUGAGCAUCUGUACUGGCAUACAGUCAGGCGACUGGCCAAAGGCAAGUAUCUUCUGCAUCCUUUUGAGCAUCCCGAGGAAGCUCUGCUACCCAGCCCGCCGAUUAAUUUAAUGAACGGAAGAGACUUUGUCCAAUGCCUAGGAUGGUGUUAGCCCAGGUGGU